UUGGUUGCAGGUGAUGAUGUGGUUCCAUAUAAAUUCGGUGAUAAAUCCUCUCGAGGAUUGAGUUCAAAUAGAUUUCAGGACACGACUUUCAAAUCCUACAAUGGGCUUGGUCAUUAUACCAAUCCUGAGGAGAUGGAAGAGGUCUGUGCUUGGUUAACUUCAAAACUGGGUCUUGGCGGUCGAUCCACAUAAAGUUGCUACGUGAAAAUGUUUUUCAUUUGGAGCAAGUGAAAUGGAGAAGAUAAUUAUUUUUAAGUUGCAAGUAACAAAAGGCAGCAAAAUUAUUAUGAGUUUGGGUUUCAUACAUUGUAUAGUAAUAUGCAUAUUUU